rnacentral:rRNA from 1 species
CGCUGGCGGCGUGCCUAAUACAUGCAAGUUGAACGCAACAAAGACACCAGAGCUUGCUCUACCGUUUUUGUUGAGUAGCGAACGGGUGAGUAACGCGUGGGUAACCUGCCUUAUAGCGGGGGAUAACUAUUGGAAACGAUAGCUAAUACCGCAUAACAAUAGAGAUUGCAUAAUCUUUAUUUGAAAGUGCCAACUGGUACACUAUGAGAUGGACCCGCGUUGUAUUAGCUAGUUGGUAGUGUAAUGGACUACCAAGGCGAUGAUACAUAGCUGACCUGAGAGGGUGAUCGGCCACAUUGGGACUGAGACACGGCCCAAACUCCUACGGGAGGCAGCAGUAGGGAAUCUUCGGCAAUGGACGAAAGUCUGACCGAGCAACGCCGCGUGAGUGAAGAAGGUUUUCGGAUCGUAAAACUCUGUUGUUAGAGAAGAAUGUUGAUUAGAGUGGAAAAUUAAUCAAGUGACGGUAUCUAACCAGAAAGGGACGGCUAACUACGUG